rnacentral:rRNA from 1 species
UACGUAGGGUGCAAGCGUUAAUCGGAAUUACUGGGCGUAAAGCGUGCGCAGGCGGUUAUGUAAGACAGUUGUGAAAUCCCCGGGCUCAACCUGGGAACUGCAUCUGUGACUGCAUAGCUAGAGUACGGUAGAGGGGGAUGGAAUUCCGCGUGUAGCAGUGAAAUGCGUAGAUAUGCGGAGGAACGCCGGUGGCGAAAGCGCCCUGCUGGAUCUCUACUGACGCUGAGGCGCGAAAGCCAGGGGAGCAAACGGG